GAUUGGAAAUGGGGGCACCCUGAUCCAGCCANCCCGCGCUGAANGAUGAAGGCCUUCGGGUUUCCAAGUUCUUUUGNUGGGGACGAUGAUGACGGUACCCACAGAAUAAGCUCCGGCUANCUNCGUGCCAGCAGCCGCGGUAAUACGAAGGGGGCUAGCGUUGUUCGGAAUUACUGGGCGUAAAGGGCGCGUAGGCGGCUUGAUAAGUUGGAUGUGAAAUCCCAAGGCUCAACUUUGGAAUUGCAUUCAAGACUAUCUUGCUUGAAUUCGGUAGAGGUUGGUGGAAUUCCCAGUGUAGAGGUGAAAUUCGUAGAGAUUGGGAAGAAUAUCCGUGGCGAAGGCGGCCAACUGGACCGACAUUGACGCUGAGGCGCGAAAGCGUGGGGAGCAAACAGGAUUAGAUACCCUGGUAGUCCACGCCGUAAACGAUGCAUGCUAGACGUUAGAACCCUCACGGGUUCUUGUGUCGCAGCUAACGCACUAAGCAUGCCGCCUGGGGAGUACGGCCGCAAGGUUGAAACUCAAAAGAAUUGACGGA
rnacentral:rRNA from 1 species